CUGAAAACUAAAAGGAAAAUAGAAACAUGGAUAACGAAAAACAUCCAGGGGAUACACCAGAGAGUGAAGAGAACUUGCUUCUUGCAAGACACUUUCCGUGAAAACAAUUUGAUAUGAAAAGAACCUUUUAUUUCAUUUUUUUAUUUUUUUUUAUUUUUUACAUGAGGCAUUUGCCUCAUUUGCCUCAAUGUAGUUACGGCCCUG
rnacentral:lncRNA from 1 species